rnacentral:rRNA from 1 species
UAACACAUGCAAGUCGAGCGAUUUACUUCGGUAAAGAGCGGCGGACGGGUGAGUAACGCGUGGGUAACCUGCCCUGUACACACGGAUAACAUACCGAAAGGUAUGCUAAUACGAGAUAAUAUACUUUUAUCGCAUGGUAGAAGUAUCAAAGCUCCGGCGGUACAGGAUGGACCCGCGUCUGAUUAGCUAGUUGGUAAGGUAACGGCUUACCAAGGCGACGAUCAGUAGCCGACCUGAGAGGGUGAUCGGCCACAUUGGAACUGAGACACGGUCCAAACUCCUACGGGAGGCAGCAGUGGGGAAUAUUGCACAAUGGGCGAAAGCCUGAUGCAGCAACGCCGCGUGAGCGAUGAAGGCCUUCGGGUCGUAAAGCUCUGUCCUCAAGGAAGAUAAUGACGGUACUUGAGGAGGAAGCCCCGGCUAACUACGUGCCAGCAGCCGCGGUAAUACGUAGGGGGCUAGCGUUAUCCGGAAUUACUGGGCGUAAAGGGUGCGUAGGUGGUUUCUUAAGUCAGAGGUGAAAGGCUACGGCUCAACCGUAGUAAGCCUUUGAAACUGGGAAACUUGAGUGCAGGAGAGGAGAGGAUUCUAGGUAGCGGUGAUGCGUAGAUAUUAGGAGGACACCAGUUGCGAAG